CAUAAACACACACUAGUACGCGUACAAACAAGUGCAUGGUAGUAACCAUGAUGCUUGUUGGACGUAGCAAUAUUUAGUAGUUACUCUGUGGAGGGUAUAUCCUUUCUAUGAAUGGCUCAAAAUGCUUCCGUAACAGCGAUAAUCCAUGCGCCAGAGGGGUCGGUCGGUACCAUCAUGGGGGAAGAGUGUUCAUAGUGAUUGUUGUCAAGGCCUACAACCCUAGGGAUGGAACAUUGUUGAUAAUCUUGCAGGACUCACAACGUUCUGUCUGCAUCUACCCACAUUGUGACACUACCCCCCCAUUUUCACGACAGUUAUAUGUUUACAAAAUUCCUAAAGGGUGGGUAUAUUAAAAGCAAUAUAACAUAUUUGUCAGGGCAUUUGGGAAUACAAAACGUGGAUGAUUGGUAUAUAUUAACAAUAUUAACAUCCUUUGAGGAUUACGGUCUGGUCUAACACUUUUUCCUGUAACAUUGCAAAAUACAAUUCACACAGUUUUAUAUUCAGUAGAAAGUUAAUAGAGGGUAUAGGAUUAGCACCUUAAACACCUUCUGUAAAGGUUCUAAUUACAACAGAAGCUCACAUGGAUAUCCAGUUAUUAUUUACAUGUUAUAAAUAAAGUUUUGUUGCAGGA
rnacentral:lncRNA from 1 species